AGAGUUUGAUCCUGGCUCAGAAUGAAACCUGGCGGUGUGCCUAACACAUGCAAGUCAAACGACAAUUUAUUUGGAGUGGCGGACGGGUGAGUAACACGUAAGAACCUACCUUUAGGAGGGGGAUACCAUCCCGGGAAACUGGUGCUAAUACCCCAUAUGCUGAGAAGUGAAAUGGUAUUUAACCGCCUAGAGAGGGGCUUGCGGCUGAUUAGCUAGUUGGUGGGGUAAUGGCCUCCCAAGGCGACGAUCAGUAGCUGGUUUGAGAGGAUGAUCAGCCACACUGGGACUGAGACACGGCCCAGACUCCUACGGGAGGCAGCAGUGAGGAAUUUUCCGCAAUGGGCGAAAGCCUGACGGAGCAAUACCGCGUGGAGGAAAAAGAAGACCUGUGGGUUGUAAACUCCUUUUCUCA
rnacentral:rRNA from 1 species